rnacentral:rRNA from 1 species
AUACGGAGGGUGCAAGCGUUGUGCGGAAUUACUGGGCGUAAAGCGCGCGUAGGCGGUCUGUUAUGUCAGAUGUGAAAGUCCUCGGCUCAACCGGGGAAGUGCAUUUGAAACUGGCAGACUUGAGUACUGGAGGGGGUGGUGGAAUUCCCGGUGUAGAGGUGAAAUUCGUAGAUAUCGGGAGGAAUACCGGUGGCGAAGGCGACCACCUGGCCAGAUACUGACGCUGAGGUGCGAAAGCGUGGGGAGCAAACAGGAUUAGAUACCCUAGUAGUCC